rnacentral:misc_RNA from 1 species
GAUGAAGAACGUAGCGAAAUGCGAUACUUGGUGUGAAUUGCAGAAUCCCGUGAACCAUCGAGUCUUUGAACGCAAGUUGCGCCCGAAGCCAUUAGGCCGAGGGCACGCCUGCCUGGGCGUCACACGUCGUUGCCCCCCCAUCUACUCCUUCGGGAUUGCGAGGGGCGGAUGAUGGCCUCCCGUGCGCCUCGUCGCGCGGUUGGCAUAAAUGCCAAGUCCUCGGCGACGCACGCCACGACAAUCGGUGGUCGCGAAACCUCGGUUGCCCGUCGUGUGCGGUCGUCGCGCAUCGAGGGCUCGAAAAAAUUGCCGGGCUCCGGCUCGGCUUUCAACGCGACCCCAGGUCAGGCGGGGUUACCCGCUGAAUUUAAGCAUAUCAAUAAGCGGAGGA